rnacentral:lncRNA from 1 species
AGGCCAUGCUAGGCUGACCAUGGGAGGAGACAGAGAUGCAUUUGCACUUGUUCAUUUUUUGGUUUGUUCACUCAUUCAUUCAUUUAUUCAUUCAUCCAUUCAUCUAUCCAUUCAUUCAAUCAGCAUUGGAAAAGGGCCAAGAAGAACAAGCCUAAUACCUCUUCUAUAUGACCAUCCUUCAAAUAAUCGAAGAUAACCAUCAUGUCCCCUCCCCUUGAAUCUUCUUUUCUCAAGGUUAAACAACCCAAUUAUUUUGGCUUCUCAUAUGACAUCCAUCCUAAGCCCUAAGGAUCAUAUGUCUACAAACUGAGACAACUUUUGCCAUUUUCUAGUCCUGUGGCCCUUGUUCUUCACAACUCUUCAAAGAUCACUAACAAUGGCACAGCAGUCACUUCUUUAAGUUCUUUUAUUACCCUGGGAUUCAUAGAGGCUUGUGGACUUGAAGUCAUAAAAAUCAGAUCAAUACAUGGGAAAACAGAAAAACAACCCCCAAACUGAAUGACCGAGCCUUCCCUCCCAGCCACACUCCCUACUUCAGAGCUGCUCUGGGCACAUACUCAGGGCUGCUCUGGGGCCGUUGCCCUCUCCUGACAUUUGGAGAGAGGAGCUGGGAAGAAGAAGGAGGGGAUAAGGAAAUGAAUGCUGCCAGAAGGGCUGCCCCAAUCUGUGGUCACCGGGUGCCAAGAGAGAUGGUAUUUUCAAGGCAGAUGGUUUAUAUGCAUUAUCACCCAUUAUCCCUCCUACUGGACUCCCAAAACGUCCCAGAAGCUUGUGGAGGCUGCUUUGGCAGCAGUCAGGCAAGAAUGAGGAGGGAGCCCUCAUCCUGACCUUGAGAAGGAACAGACCAGGAGCAGAUUAGCAAGGAAAGGGAAAAAGGGCAAAAUGGGAGUAGUUGUCCCCUUGCCCUGGCAGGGAGCAUAACAGAUGGAGCCAGACCAUGAAGAAGACAGACAACUACCCGGGAAAUAACUGGACCAUCAGGGCUGGCCAAAUUGAAAACAACAUAGCAUAAAGGACAUAGCACUGCACAGAUCUCUUGAUUCCAAUUUCUGUUACUCCUUAAGUUGGGCAAACCUCUUUCCCUUUAACCUCAUUUUCUUCUUCCAUAAAAUAAGGGAAUUGAGCUAGAGGAGAUCUGUAGCCCCUUUCAAUUCUGAAAUCCUAUGAUGGUACAAAGGGAGACAGCAGGAAAUACUGGAAAGACUGCUGAACUUGGG